UACGUAGAGUGCGAGCGUUAAUCGGAAUUACUGGGCGUAAAGCGUGCGCAGGCGGUUCGACAAGUCCGAUGUGAAAGCCCCGGGCUCAACCUGGGAAUGGCAUUGGAAACUGGCGGGCUGGAGUGUGGCAGAGGGGGGUGGAAUUCCGCGUGUAGCAGUGAAAUGCGUAGAUAUGUGGAGGAACACCGAUGGCGAAGGCAGCCCCCUGGGAUGUGACUGACGCUCAUGUACGAAAGCGUGGGGAGCAAACAGG
rnacentral:rRNA from 1 species